GUGGCUCAGCAGUAAUGAACUCAAUUAGUAUCCAUGAGGAUGUGGGUUCAAUCCCUGGCCUCGCUCAGUGCGUUAAAGGAUCUGGCAUUGUCAUGAGCUGGGGUGUAUGUUGCAGGUGCAGCUCAUAUCUGGCAUUGCUGUGGCUGUGGUGUAGGCCAGCGGCUACAGCUCUGAUUCAGCCCGUAGCCUGGGCAUAUCCAUGUGCCAUGGGUGCAUCCCUAAAAAAACAAGGAAGGAAGAUGGAAGGAAGGAAAGAAUAUGGUUAUUUGUCUUCCUCUUUCUGACUUACUUUGCUUAGUAUGAUAAUCUCUAGGUCCAUCUAUGCAGCUGCAAAUGGCACUAUUUCAUUCUUUUUUAUUGCUGAGUAAUACUCCAUUAUAUAUAUAUAUCACAUCUUUAUCAUUCCUCUGUUGAUGGGCAUUUAGGAUUUUUUCCAUAUCUUGGCUAUUGUUAAGUAGUGCUGUUGUGGACAUAGGGAUGUUUAUGUCUUUACAAAUUAACUUUUGUCUACUAAGGAAUAGAUUUAAGGCUACAUUUUUAAUUUGGUUUGCUUCAAAAGGAACAUUUUGAUAUGGUAUGUCCACUGAAAGUAGAUAUAGAAUUAUAAUGAGCAUCCAUAUUGUACCUGGAGGGUUUCUUCAACUUUUGCUAUAUUAAAUGAAAUUAUGACUAAAGAAUUAAAUGAUAAAAAGUUAUAUUUUAAUAUAAAAUUCAGUCUUUUUAAAAAACUAUUUCUAACUAAAAAGAGUAUUUAAGUAAUCUCGCACUCAGCAGAAUGAUUUCGACUGCAAGCAUGUUAAAAUCAUAGAUCCCAAACCUGACUGUCAUGUUACAUGCCAAUUACAUGAAACAGACUGAUGAAACAUUACUGCCCAACACUGUGCCUGGAUGUUAGGGGAAAAGGAAUUAAAAUGGAUCUCAUGGGAGAAAGUUUUUGUCUAGUUCUAGACAUAUGCUACUCCUCUAGUUAAGCUUAAUCGGUCAUGCUCAGUAAGUAAGUAGCCAAAAUAUGCCCCAUUUUUUUUUUCUCCUACGUACAAUUUGGCACUUUUUAUUCCAAAAGCAUGGUGCUCUGUUUUUAUUUUUAGAGCAUGAAACCUCACCAUUCAUGAACCCAAGUAAAUGCUUUAGAAGCUAAACUUGGUAAAAACUAAGGAAAAACAUGCCUAAGAUGUUUUGGGAUCAGGAUUUCCAGGGAUUCUAGGCAGGAAAGGAAAUCCUAAAUUCUGGGCUCCUUUAUAUGCGAAGCUGACACUACUUAGGGUGAAAUCUGGCCAAAGCUGUAGAACAACAACAUCUGGCAGCUGUUCAAGAGUCGUGUUUCCAAAGCAGAGAUAAAAAUGAGAAGAUCUGAGCAAAAGAUGCAAAUGAAAAAAUACAGUAAGUCACAUUAUACUAGAUUUAAGCUUUGCAAGCUUGUAGUGCUGAAUGGGUUCUUUUUAUAGGCGCUGAAUUAUGUAGGUCAAGGUGUCAGUUUAACAUAGGUUUCUGCUUUCAGUCUUGGCUUCCUGUGCAAUGACCAAUAGUCUCUUCCUUAUCCUGCAAGUCCACUUUCAACAUAAGAGCAGCUCCUUCUGGGCUUCAUAAAGGGCUAGGGAUUGUGUUUUAUCCUAAGCAAUGGGAAGGUCUUCGGCCAAACUGUCUGGAACAUGCCAGGUCUCAUCUAAACAAUGGGACGUCAUGGAUGGUGGCGCCUAGACGUGACUUAGCAGUCUUGUGUCUUUAAAACAACUCUCUAACUGUGAGACUCAGGUUUUGUACAGGUUAAAAAAUUCAUCAUACAGGGAAAGGGCAGUCGUGAGCCACUAAAUAAGUUAACUCAUAUAAAAAGCCUAGUGUAUUUCCUAUUUAUAACCUUGACCCAGGACUUACCAUAACUUUAAAUGUGUAAGCAUCUGUGUCUUUGCUUCUUUAAUUAUUCACUCCUCCAUAUGACUGCAGUUCCAUGAGAACAGGGAGCCCCUCUGUGCAGCCAGCGCUGAAAUCUGAGUGCCUAGCACAGAGAAGGAAAUGCACAAAUGAAUGGAUAAAUGGACACAUGAAAACUAGAAAAUACUCAUGCUGGGAAGCUCUCUUUCCUUGUACUCAUCUCAGAUUGUGAUUUUCUGUGCAUGUGAAUACCUGAUUGAUGUCUGGGACCCUGCACUUGACAUGAAGUGGCUCCAUAAAGGCAGCCACUGUGUUGUUUUUGCUGCUCAUGUACUGAUGUUCUCUCAUAAUCUAGCAGUCUCUGGGGCACGGCCCUUAGAUAUAAGCAUAUGUAGGAAGAAUUAAUGUAGUGGAUCCCACUGUUGUAGCAGAGGAUGUACAUAGAGUCUUUUGAAUGGUUAUUCAGUAGUUCUUUUUGAUAUAUGUCAGUCUCCUCUAACUGUAAGCUCCCUGAGCGUAGGAUACAUGCAUACCCCACCCCCAACUGCCCAGUAGAGUGCCUGUAGCUUCGCAACUACUCCAUACAUGUUCUUGACUGCAUGGCAUAGUUCCCAAACUAAACGUAAGGAAAUAUGCUGAAUUAAUUUCAUCUUCAAGAAGAGUCUUGAAAAGAACUUAAUUAAUUUUUGGUGUAUUUUAUUUAUUUUGGACAAAAACAUCAGAAGAAUCUGGAGGCUUAAAAAACGUAAUUCCUUUUAAAUUCAUGCUUUGGAAAAUCUCAAGAGGUCCUUCAUUCCCCUUGGUAUUAAACAAGGCCAAUGAUAUUGCCAAGCUGAAGCUAAGCUGGCAUGAAUUAUUCAGAGCAGCAGGAGAAGCAGCUGCUCAUCUUCUCUGCCCCUAAUUUUGAAGGGUGGAGAAUUGGAGGGCAGUGGUGACAACACCAGGGGGGAAGAAAAGAUAAAUUGUUGCCCUAAACCUCAUAAGCUAUAACAUCUGCAACACUGUGUUUAAUUUGGCGGUGGAGUCCACUGUGCCUGCUGCAGAUAACAAGGGCAAAAAAUAGGAGAAAGCAUAUGAGUACCUGUUUGGUUGGGGUUGAGGGGGGCAGAAAAGGGAAGAAGAUGGAGACGAAGAGAGAGGGGGGAGGAGUAGGGGAGGAAAGACAGGUGUCCAUUCUGGAAGGCAAGAGGGCAAAUUCUAGUUAAGGAAUAAUACGGGACUUAGAAAACUCUUCCUGUCCAGAAAAAAGCUCAAGUGAAAUUUAAAGUGCAGAGAUGCAUGUAAAGAAAAGUAUCUACAAAGUAAAGCAUGUUGUAAUAUUGUCAUGCAAAAAAAGACCCCACCAUUCAGCUGAAGAGAGCCUCUGCCCCUGGAUAACUUCUGUUUCUUUGAUCCAGAGGCUAUAUUGGAAUGUUUUUAAUUUCUUGGGGUCCUGGUGGGUGGCAUAUAGGAAAGUACCGUUAGAGAGAGGUAGGGUUAUUGUGGCUAUGCAUGUAGGUACUGGAAUCAUAAAGUCCCAGGAUUUUAGGUCUGGAAAGCACUUUAGACUUCCUACCAUAGGGUCUUGGGUUGUAAAAUUUGAGACACGUCCGCUUUUCUUCUGGAUUGAAAUGACUUUUACUUGAUGGAUGUAUCGAUGGGUGGGGAACUAUCUUGAAUCUUUAAAGUUUUAUUGAAAAUCACCCUGAAGACAUUCUGACCACAUCUCCUGCUUCCUACUGUUACAAUUCAAGAGCAGUUAAGUUGAGUCAGAAAUGGGCAGAGAGCCCAACUUGCAGAAUGAUGCUUUUUGGUGAAGGGCAGACAGAUGCUCAGUGUCACACUGUCUGAGGUUAAGAAACCAGAAGAGGCCCAUCUAGUCUCUCAAAAAUGAAAAUGUGGGGGAAAAAAAAUAGGGACUGCAAGGCAUGCGUCCUAUACCAUUUAUUGAGGUGAACUUUAAAAACACAACAGGAGUUCCCGUCGUGGCGCAGUGGUUAACGAAUCCGACUAGGAACCAUGAAGUCGCGGGUUCGGUCCCUGCCCUUGCUCAGUGGGUUAACGAUCCGGUGUUGCCAUGAGCUGUGGUGUAGGUUGCAGACGCAGCUCGGAUCCCGCGUUGCUGUGGCUCUGGUGUAGGCCGGUGACUACAGCUCCGAUUAGACCCCUAGCCUGGCAACCUCCAUAUGCCGCGGGAGUGGCCCAAGAAAUAGCAACAACAAC
rnacentral:lncRNA from 1 species